UACCUACGGGGGGCAGCAGUGAGGAAUACUGGUCAAUGGGCGGGAGCCUGAACCAGCCAAGUCGCGUGAGGGACGACGGUCCUAUGGAUUGUAAACCUCUUUUGUCUGGGAACAAAGGCGCCCACGGGUGGGCGGAUGAGUGUACCCGAAGAAAAAGCAUCGGCUAACUCCGUGCCAGCAGCCGCGGUAAUACGGAGGAUGCGGGCGUUAUCCGGAAUGAUUGGGCGUAAAGGGUGCGUAGGCGGCCUGCUAAGUCUGGAGUGAAAGGUACCGGCUCAACCGGUACAGGCUCUGGAAACUGGCGG
rnacentral:rRNA from 1 species